UACGGGAGGCAGCAGUGGGGAAUAUUGCACAAUGGGCGAAAGCCUGAUGCAGCUAUGCCGCGUGUAUGAAGAAGGCCUUAGGGUUGUAAAGUACUUUCAUCGGGGAGGAAAAACAAAACUAAUAAUUUUAUUUCUUGACGUUACCCGAAAAAGAAGCACCGGCUAACUUCGUGCCAGCAGCCGCGGUAAUACGGAGGGUGCUAGCGUUAAUCAGAAUUACUGGGCGUAAAGAGCACGUAGGUGGUUUUUUAAGUCAGAUGUGAAAUCCCUGGGCUUAACCUAGGAACUGCAUUUGAAACUGAAAUACUAGAGUAUCGUAGAGGGAGGUAGAAUUCUAGGUGUAGCGGUGAAAUGCGUAGAUAUCUGGAGGAAUACCUGUGGCGAAAGCGGCCUCCUAAACGAAUACUGACACUGAGGUGCGAAAGCGUGGGGAGCAAAACGAGGGAUUAGAUACC
rnacentral:rRNA from 1 species